rnacentral:rRNA from 1 species
GGUGAACGCUGGCGGUAGGCCUAACACAUGCAAGUCGAACGGCAGCACAGUAAGAGCUUGCUCUUACGGGUGGCGAGUGGCGGACGGGUGAGGAAUACAUCGGAAUCUACUUUUUCGUGGGGGAUAACGUAGGGAAACUUACGCUAAUACCGCAUACGACCUACGGGUGGAAGCAGGGGAUCUUCGGACCUUGCGCGAUUGAAUGAGCCGAUGUCGGAUUAGCUAGUUGGCGGGGUAAAGGCCCACCAAGGCGACGAUCCGUAGCUGGUCUGAGAGGAUGAUCAGCCACACUGGAACUGAGACACGGUCCAGACUCCUACGGGAGGCAGCAGUGGGGAAUAUUGGACAAAGGGCGCAAGCCUGAUCCAGCCAUACCGCGUGGGUGAAGAAGGCCUUCGGGUUGUAAAGCCCUUUUGUUGGGAAAGAAAAGCAGCAGGUUAAUACCCCGCUGUUCUGACGGUACCCAAAGAAUAAGCACCGGCUAACUUCGUG